AAUUAAACAUGAUCACAAUUAGGAAUGGAAUCCUGGCCUCAUGUGGUGUUUGCUGAGCAGUUGGUGCUAAGACAGAGGCUUGAAUCUGCCUCUGCACACCAUUUGCCAUUUCUUACACAGAACUCGAUGAACAGGCUCAUUCUAGCUAGAACCACCUGUGUAAAGACCUGGUAUUAGAAUGGAAAGCAUUGAUCUACGAUACUAAGAAAUAGUAAAGGGCACUGGUAAUCUGAGGUAUCUUCCACUUCUAGGACUUGCUGCUGAAAGUCGAUUCUAUCCAGUCACUGUGCUGAGCCGCUAAGGAAACCACUGGGGGGAGGGUGGACCCGCCAGGAGGGAACGAGCACCAGUGCCAAGGAGC
rnacentral:lncRNA from 1 species